rnacentral:rRNA from 1 species
AGCAGUCGCCGCGGGAAUACGUAGGUGGCAAGCGUUGUCCGGAGUUAUUGGGCGUAAAGCGCGCGCAGGCGGAUAGGUCAGUCUGUCUUAAAAGUUCGGGGCUUAACCCCGUGAUGGGAUGGAAACUGCCAAUCUAGAGUAUCGGAGAGGAAAGUGGAAUUCCUAGUGUAGCGGUGAAAUGCGUAGAUAUUAGGAAGAACACCAGUGGCGAAGGCGACUUUCUGGACGAAAACUGACGCUGAGGCGCGAAAGCCAGGGGAGCGAACGGGAUUAGAUACCCCAGUAGUCCCUGUCUCUUAUACA